UCCCCCCUGGGCCCUUAACAUGCAAUUCGGCGGUGCACAGGGGAACCUUGCUCCCUGGGUGACGAGCGGCGGACGGGUUAUUAAUGUCUGGGAAACUGCCUGAUGGAGGGGGAUAACUACUGGAAACGGUAGCUAAUACCGCAUAACGUCGCAAGACCAAAGAGGGGGACCUUCGGGCCUCUUGCCAUCAGAUGUGCCCAGAUGGGAUUAGCUAGUAGGUGGGGUAAUGGCUCACCUAGGCGACGAUCCCUAGCUGGUCUGAGAGGAUGACCAGCCACACUGGAACUGAGACACGGUCCAGACUCCUACGGGAGGCAGCAGUGGGGAAUAUUGCACAAUGGGCGCAAGCCUGAUGCAGCCAUGCCGCGUGUGUGAAGAAGGCCUUCGGGUUGUAAAGCACUUUCAGCGAGGAGGAAAGGUGGUGAGCUUAAUACGCUCAUCAAUUGACGUUACUCGCAAAAAAAGCACCGGCUAACUCCCG
rnacentral:rRNA from 1 species